UGAAUCCUAAAAUACGUGCAAAUCAAAAUUCAAUUGCACGGAAUUGUUUGUAUUUGUAGAUGAAUGUUACCUUUAAUUCUAUUAUUGGAAAGUAAAUCACUUAUUAAUCAGACAUAAUAAUUCUCAGAAAUAUUGUCUAUAAGCACUUUGGAUUUUUCAUGUUUCAGAUCAUUGUGCAGGGUUUGGAUUAUCCACUUACACACAAACAUACAUGCUCUUAAAUAGGUGCAAAAAUGAUAUAAACAAAUAAAAGGAAACAAGUAGAUAAAAUACUGGUAGCAUACUUUGCCAACAUAACCACUGGAGUAAAAAAUAUUCCUUUUUUCUUUUUUGCAUAGGUAAAAUGAUUUUUCUAUUUUUAUAUACUAUCUAUAUAUUGUCAAGUCUCAAGUAUACAGGUAAAUUUAGUGUGUACAAGGAGAAACACCGGUGCUUUAUAAGCAUUUUUGCUAAGUUGCUUGGUGCAGAGUACAUUUUAUUUUUAUUUAGGCAAUUCAAACACAUUGUUUUGUUUUUGAAAAAAAUAAUAUUUUCUUACUCCUUGUUUCCCUAAUAGAAUCUUGUCUAGGUUGCGAUUGUAAUAAAGGAUGUGUGCAUGUGUCGAACUUUUUUUUGACAAGUGAGCUGGCAACUGUGGAAUCAGGGCUGGAACUUCAAUUUCCAUAUACAGUAUUGGACCUCUGCACAUAAUAUUAAAAUUAAACUUAUAUUUAGAGUUUAUUAUAUGUGCACAUAAACAAAUGGCUAGGAAUCUAAUGGGAUUGUCAUAUUACUCAAAAUGCACUGGAAAUUCUUCAUAAGUACAAUUCCACAGCUUUGUAGUAAUGCCAUAACCAUCCAAACAAUUUGUUUUUUGGUUCUUGUUUUUGAAAUUAAUUGAUUUAAAAACACUUUCCAGACGCUUUUUAAAAAAAAAAACUAAAUUAUGGAUUUUAGGAAAAGAUGAAUAAUUUUUGGACACCAUAAAUUGCAUGGCAGAUACAAGAGACAUUGAUCUUCACCUAGUGCAGUUGCUAAUCCUUAAGGAACAGAAUUGAAGCCAUGAUUGCUUCCUUCUUGUUUCAUGUUAUAUUUUUCUUUUUGUAAUUAUUGUCAUGGACAUGCCUACUUUCCCAUUGUAGUAAAAUGUCUGACCUAGCAUAGAUGCUAUUCCUUACAUAACAUAACAACACCAUGAUUAAUCCUUUUUUUGGUUUCACAUUAAAUUUUUCUUCUUGCCAUUAUUUUUCAAGGACAUUACUGAUUCCCCUUAAUAAUAAAAUGAUUUGAGUUCCCAUUAGCAGUAAUGAUGCUCAAUUAUUAAAUAGUAUGGGUAUGGCUUUCACAUGAUUUUGGUACUCCCUUGACCAACUUGUAGACUACAAUUCAAUAAUUAGCCAAAGUCAAAUGUACUACUUCUUGUAACUCAGAUAAUUGGAAUAUGUCAACCGAUGUCAACAUUGAUGGUAGUUGCCUUUGUAGAGAUCUAGAAUGCAGAUAUUUUCCUCUUUUUUUCUCCGCUUUCCUUUUUUUGUAAUCCCUAUGAAAGCAUUUGAGGUAACAGCUCACUAUUUGAUACAAUAUAGAAUAUUUUGUAGUUACAUAUUUGGGAAUGUGCUGCAGGUUGGAUCUGUUACAGCAAUAUGCUUCACCUGCUUUCUUGUAAGAUGCUUUGUGGUAAGUAUUUAAGCAUUAAAUGCUAUUUCAAAGAUGUAAUAUGAUGUUUAGUAUAGAAUGUCACCUUCCACAGAUCUUGCAUACCUAUUAUUGAUAGCACAAUAUUACAUGUUGACUAUAUUCUCUCAUGGAAAAGCUUUUAUUUUUGUGGCAAAAUAAUAAUUUACAAAAACAACACAUUAUUGCAUUUCAGUGAAGCUCUUCAUAGUGGAGAGCUCUUGUUUUUAUGGUCUUAUUUUCACAUGCUCUUGAAAGGAGAAAAAGAAGGAAAAGAACAUGCAUUUGUACUGUUAAGUUUGAGCCUGCUAGUUUGAAUGAAUUCAUUUGUCAAGUGUGCAAUAUCUCAAAAUACGUGUGAAUGCUUUUUCUUUUAAGCUUUAAUAGUUGAUAUUCCUAGAAGUAUGCUUCCAUCAAAGGUGUCUCAGAUCCCAUAUAGGUAGUAAUGUGUUUAUCAGAGUGCAUUUAUCUAAGUGUCUUCAUAUAAUGACAUUUCUCAAAAAGAAUAUUAUCAUGGGUAUUGAGCAGAGAUAUGUUUCCAUGACAAAAUUCCUACAGAGUGAAAACCGACUAGAUUGAAACGUGUAUGAUGGACCAACAACAUGCACUAUCAUUUUCAUGUUUAAUGGGGUUACACAAAGGACAUGAUUGGAAUAGCUAAUAAUGUCAUUAAAUUGAAAGAAAGCAACUGCAUUGCUAUUUCAUAGAAUGAAUAUGAAAAUGAGGCUUUAGUUGGAAUAAUUGAGAAAUAAAACCUCUAACACCAUCACGUUCUUGUAUGUUACGGUUGUUUUAUGAAAGGACUUUUUGUUGGAUAAGGGUCAAUUUAUUGGCAUCUAAACAGGUACAUAUCCAUGGUCAAAUACAUGUUAGUUUUAAAAGGAUGAAUGUACUAAAUUGUAAGUUAGAUUACUUGCUCCAUAAUUGGAUAAAAUUGAGAUCAUCUAUUUUAAAAGUUAUAUUAAACCUAACAGCUUUUAUAUAUAAUGUUGAGAUUGAUAUGGGAUGGGAAUGGCUUUAUGGUUUGCUAUAUUGAAGUGCGUCAUGGAGCAUUCAUUAUCCAAGUUUCUACAUAUCAAGAACAACAAAACUUGGAGGAAAAUAGUUUUUUGAGCUUGACACAAACAAAUAGAUGAAGAAUUGAAGAUGAUUCCAUAGUUCUAUCAACCAUGGUAAUGGCAAUUGGAAAGGGGAAAAAGGAGAAAAAGGUGAAGCUUGAUAGUGGUAAAUAUGGUGGGCAAAUUUGUCUGCAAAUCUUUGAGAUAGUUUGGGCAUGCAUGAUGAGACUUAGAGCCAAAACAUACUGAGCAUGUGCCUUUUGCAUCAAAAUUGAUUCCCUGGUGGUGAUGGGGUCAUUAAGAACCCAGAAUGAUUACUUGCAUAACCUGUGAAUGACCAUUCUGUGCCCAACACUUUCAGAGAAAGUGACAACUUAAGCAGUAUGUUUCCUUCUUUUCAGUUGAUCAGUUUUUUUAUAUAUAAAAGCUGCCUGUGGAUUAUUUUUAUGGGGACCAUAUAGUAUUGUCAAAAGCCUUGAGUUAAAAUAUCUAAGAUGUAUACCCUAUGUAGCUUCAGAAACCCUUUUAGACUGUCUGAAGAUACUUGUCCAAUAAGGCAGUCUGCUUGAUAUCAUGUCAAAGCAUCAUCAUUUCUGUUGUGCUAGGACUAUAUCAUAAGGACCCUGGCUUUCAUGUGAACCUUUUCUUAAAUUAACUUAAUAUUUUAGAAUUGGAACUUCACUAUGUAUAGCUUUGAAGUUCUGACAUCAAGUAAAAUAGUAUUAUAGGACAAUAUAAAGCUCCUAAGAACUGGUGUUUCAAGUAGUCUGCAGCUUUUUGGAGGAAUGUCUGACAGGGAUUUAGGUUACAGAGUUAUAUGUUUCAGCUGCAAGCUCUGCACGGUUCUUGGUUGUGAUCCACUUGAUAGGAAAGAGCAAUGUGUCCAUUGCCAUUCUAAGUUUUUGUUGGAUAUGUUAGAAACCAAAGAUCUAGUUUUUUGUGAUGAUCUGGCCGAAAGCCCCAAUACAGGCUUAUGAAACUCAAAUAUUUAUUGUUUGAACUUUGAACUUCACGCCAUUGCUGCAGGCUGUAUUAGACACUGGCAAAUGCACUUUUAUGAUAGCUUUUUUUUUGGUAUCAUCUCCAGAAAGCUCUUUAAUUUGGCAGCUCUCAGUUCAUUAAUAUAGAAAUUUGGUGCGUAUGCAUUUGUCCCAAUAGGUGUUUCAUUGUCUUGUUAGUGAUAAUGUUGGGCCUAAAACAUGGUUUUCUAGAUGUCAUUCAAAGAAAAUCAAUCUAGUUCUUUUAAAGCAAGUUGUGAAUUGAAAAUUGAAAUAUUAGCAGCAGCUAUGGUUUAUAGUGGGCAGGGAAACAUGCUCGACAUCUCCAAUUGGCUGCGUGAAACUAUGUAAACCCACUUCUUGAGUACAAGUAGUAGCCUCAGCCAGGGUUUGGCACCAAUUCAAAAGAUUGGCAUCACACUGUGCGUGCAUGAUAAAGCGUCCAAAAACCUUGAAUGGAUGCUACCUUAAUCCAUGGAAAGGACCCUUGCAUAGAUACCAUAACAUUUCUUGGUUAUGGUCAGGGCAGAUGAUAUAUAAAUUAAACGACAUGAUGAGUGAACUUUUGGAAGUAAAUUGAAUUGAUGGAUGGAAAGCAAAGUUUUAAAUUUCCGCUGAAACCUAACCAUUGUUGCAUAAGUGGAUUGGUUUUGGCUGAGACCAAUCUGAAACUAACUAAAAGUUUCGGUUUCAGUUAGUUUCGGUGAGUUUUGGCCGGUUUCACUCGACUUCAGUCAAUUUUGGCUAGUUUCAGUGGUUUUGGCCAAUUUAGUAGUUUCAGCGCUUCGGCCAAAGCUAAUUGAAACUAUCUUUUCUUUAAAAACACACAUGUUUAAUGUUUUAUUUUGAUUCUUUUUUUCUUUGAAUUACAUUACUAACCUUUUUACCAAUUAAAAAGCAUUGUGUUCAUAUGAUUUUUCUUUAAAUGUUUCUCUUUUUUCAGAAACAGAAUGAAAAAAAAAAAUGAAGUAAUGAAAGAAAAUGGUUUCUUGGUUAAAUGGGUUUUUUUAGGUAGGUUAUUGAAAUAUGAAAUAAAAUAAAAGAUGCUUAGAUGGUUUAUUAAAAUGACAGAUGUAUUAGUUUUUGGUAUUUCAGGCAUGCAAUUAAAUAAAAUAAAAUGAAAUACGCUUAGAUGAGUUUGUUCUUGCUUGGAUGGUUUGUCAUUUUUUUAAUGGUACUGAAUAGGUAUAUUUAAUUACUUCUAUACUCUUGUUUGGCUGUUAGUUUAUGUUGAUUGAGUGAUGAAUACUCAAUAGAUUGAUGCAAUACUGUGAUCUUCCUUGAUACACCAAGCUUUGAUAUAGUUCAAUUUCGGUAUAAAAAUUUAUCGAGACUACACAAAUUGCAAUCUAGAUAACUGAAAACAUAAUAAAAUUAUGUGAAAUAACUGUGUCGGUUUCUUUUAUUUUUCUUAAUUUUCUAGUUUUUGUUUUGUUUCUGACUUUUUUUAGCAAAACUCCAUAAUUCAAAGCAAAUCUGUCAAAACUCCUAAAUGUUGAAAAUGAAGCUCAUCCAAGUGGGCAAAACUUGAAAUGAAACAGUGAGGAGAGAUUGUCUGUGUCUGUAUGUUUCCAUUGUCAAUCUUUUAUAUGGCAAAAUUAUGCUCUAAUUUCUAUUUUUUAAAAAAUAUAUCUCUGAUGUGGGAAAUUAGCAGCUACGACCUAUUAUUUAGCGGUGGAAUUUUGUAUGAACAAAGUGAACUACUUGUACCAAGUAACGUGAAGUUACUAAUAAAUGCUGAAACUGUUGUGACCCAUAGUGGACUUAGUUCAAGUUUGAGUCAACCAAUUCGGUAUAAUUACUAGUUCGGGCAUGUUACUUCUAAGGUAAGCAUCACAUAUACUAAGAAGGUAAUUGUAGCAACCAUCGGAGUGCAUAAUGGUGACAAGGAAUUGUAGCAACCAUCAGGAAAAAAAAAAAAUUCCACAUUCCAUGUCAUCAUUAUGCACUGCGAUUAAGCGUAUGCCUGGAAUCCUCUCUCUCUCUCUCUACUAACAUACACUAAAAACNNNNNNNNNNNNNNNNNNNNCGAGUACUCUCUCUCUCUCUCUCUAACAUACACUCAAAAAAAAAAAAAAAGUAGAUUGCAGAAGAAUUUUCUACCAGCAGCUUGCAGAUCACUCUUAUUUCCAUUGACUGCAUCAAUCAUUUACUUUAGCAUAUAUCUAUUUGCUCUUUGUAGGUUGGAUUAUCUGCAGUUGAUCCUGAUGCAUCUCUUGAGGUUUUGGAUCACCCAAUUUUGGACCUCAUCUAUUACACGGUAAGUUUGGAUGCAGUCUUAGCUGACAUAACUGCUUGCUUCUGAUGUUCUAAUACUUUGAAAAUUGUACUGAACAGCUGGCUGAGAUACUCCCUUCAGCACUUGUUCUAUACAUACUCCGUAAACUACCUCCUAAACGAGUGUCAGCGCAGUACCACCCUAUUCGGUAGUGUUAAUGAACACCUGCAACAGGGAUGUUAGAUUUUUUGAGCUGUUCAGAAUGGUGAUGGAGAUGGCAUGGUUGGAACUGGUGGGAGCUUAGAUGAAAGACUAGAUUUUGUACUCAAGGCUUUGUUCCAUGGCUUUCUUGCGACUGUUUUUUCAUUCUGUAUGUGCUGACAAGUGCUCCUCACGGUAAUCAGUGUCAUUGUGCUUCUUAAGGUGGAAACCUGUUUUGCCAUUUCAGGUUUUCCCCCAGGAUAUAUGUAGGAGUAAAGGUUUGUUGGAUUUAUAGGAUAUAUUUGUUACCUGGUUAAUUUAAUUCACUAUAUGAUGUGUUCAUUUCAAAGUGACUAACUUUUUGUUAGAAAUUCUAAUUACCAUGUCCAAUCUUAUCUGUUUUGUUUUACUGAUAUCAAAUAUCAGAUACUAAAUUUGAUAUCAAAUAUUUGAUCUGUGUCAUGUGUCUCACUGUUUUUGGGCCAUUGCCCAUUAUUCUACGUUUAAUGCCUUGCAAAGGUAGGUAGGAAGAGGCAAUGUGGUUUCUAAGUGCCUAACAAUUAUCAAAGCUUCAGGCCUGGGAUAUUAUCAGUGGACAAGUUUAACGUGAUCGGGAAGGGCGUAUAGAUGUAAUUGUUAUUUCGUGAAAAAUAUUAAAUUAUUUAGCAACUAUCGAAUAAUUCUGUCAAAUAGCUUGUGUCAUAGAAGACUCGAUCUAAUAAGCAAAUGAAGUAUGUGUGAAUUACUGGAUUAAUUAAACUAUUAAUAAAUGAUAAUGAUUUGGGUGAUUUAUAUCUCGUUCAUUCUCCAAACUGCAGCAGGUUGCCAGCACAAUCAGAUACCACACUAAACAGUAGGAUCUAAAGAAUAUUUGGUUGUGUACAAAGAAUAUGGAUAUAACGGUCUCAGUGAUCAUUUACCGUGAAGGGUGAUUGUUGUAUAUUUUAGACUAGAAUGGUUUGUGGCGUUUUGUUUAGAUGAUAUGUAUUUUGAUGGAGUAAUAGUUGAUAGGAAACAUAGCGAUGGAAAUAAUAAAUCCAUUGUAGAAUAGAGUAGUUUAGGCUGUUCUGUCUUAGAAUAGCAUAAUUUGACUUCUUUUGCUUGGAUGAAAUAUAUCUCUAAUCAUAAAGUAAUGUGUGUUAGAGAUUAUAGUGUUGAAAGUGAUAAAUCAAUUCCGGUUAGGAAGUUCCAAUGAUGCAAGUAGUAUUUUUCCUACUGUUUGAGAAAAGUGGCUUAUUUUCUUUUUCCUUGAAAUGCCACAUGAGGAAAGCUUGAAGCCUCUCCUUCAUGUUAGGGGAGAGAGAAGCACAUAGCCCUUACUACUAUUUAUUUGUGUUCUCUUGUUUUAAUAAUUGUAAAAUUUUUACUAUUGAAAUUUUAAAAAUGCUAUAACACUGGUGAAAAUCCAAACUAUCCUUAAAGAAUUUCCGGUCAUUUUUUUUCUUUAUUUAAAAAAAUAAAAUGAUUUUAUCAAACGGUCUUUUAAGUUGCUUUCUUAGAAUAGCUGUGCUCUCUAAAUUUAACUUCCACCCGAACCGGAGUACCAUCUUUAGCAUGCCUAUCUACCUAGAAAGAUUUUUCUAGGCAAAUAAUUAAGGUCGUCAAAGACAAUUAUCUUUUCUGUGCGCUAAGGUUCAAAAGACCGUUGACCAUGAUAUUGAUAUCGAUCUAUCUCUAAGGCAUUUGCUUUAAUUUAAAGAGGCCAUGUAGAAGGUUCAAAGUCAGUGCUGCCUCCAGCCAUACUCUUCACAGCAAUCAGUACACUGUUAUCUUCCACUGGAUUUCCUUACGUACCUUCAUUUUUCUUUUUACAUCGAUUAAGGAUGCGGUAAUGUAGAACUCCGACAGAGCUAAAGCAACAGAAUUGUGAAUCUAGGACAAAUAGGCCAACCAGGACUCGAGGAAGAACAACAGUGUGAUCUUGGUCAAUUCGUAAUGGUUCGGAAGUUCCAACAAUAUCAGUUGAGGUUUUGGAAAGACCGCAAUGUGCUCCUACCUUGAAGGCCCUAUUAUCAAGCAUAUAUUUCCAUGCAUUAUAACAGAAACCAGUGGUAUUGAUUGACUACAUGCACAAUCAUGCGAGAUAAGCAAUAAUUUCUUAAGAUGGGGAGGCCAUCCACGGUGUAUGUGCCACCGCGCGCUCUCUCUCUCUCCCUCCCUCCCUCUGGUUGGAUCAAUAUUUAGCACAUUCAAAUUCUAUCAAAAGUUUGGGUUGGAUUAAAAUUUUGAAUUCUCAAGCCUCAACCAUUUUCCUUUAAAUUAGGUUGGGCAAGAUUUUAGGAUUUUCUUAAUUAAUUUAUCAUCUUUUCAUAUUGGUUAUUUUGUCUAUAAAUGUAACAAAAACCACAAAAGCCUACCCAUAAAUUGGUUAUUUUGUUACAUUUCAGAUACCUCAAGCAACAUGAGCAUUGAGCCGUUGAGUAACACAAUACUAUAAAAUGGUCUUCGUGGUGGCGGCAGUAACGGAGACGAUGGUGAUGAAAAAAAGAUAUUCUUUUUAAUCCUUUUUUCUUUUUCUUUUUCGUUCCUUUCCUCAUUGGAACAGAGCCCACAUGUGAUCUAUAACAACGGGAGUUUAUAUACGGUGUACAUAGACAAACGUAACCCUGGUCAAUGCAGGAAUCAGAGACAACAAAUGUAUACAAGUUAGGUGAAUGGAAACUUUCUAAACUAGAUGAAGGACAAAUACGUACUUGGCAGGGGAUCCCCAUGAAAGCUUCUCAUAAUGUCAGCCCAGAACCAGGAAUUAGUAUUAUUGCUAUAACCUAUACAUGAACGGUCAUUCCGCCACUCCUCUACCAGCAGUUGCACCCCACCAAGCGGCAAGGCUUUUAAUAUACAACCCUUGCACCAAAUUACAUGGACCGGUACCCUUCCUACCCACUUUAGAUACACAAGGCAGUAACCUGAAAAAAUUGAUACAAGUAGCAAAUAGGAACCAAGAUACUCAUGAAACCGACAACGGUUUCAGCAAUAACUGGACCUGGCAUAGUCUAGUGGUAGGGAUGGGCAUCUCUCAUUCAUGUGAGGGUAUGGCUGCAAAGUGUUGUACUCGGGCAAUUCCAUUCGAUAGCGGCCCAGAAUUUGACAGUAAGGAAGCUUCACGUUGUCAUCUUUGUUACACCACUCUGGCAGGUGGCUUGAGUUGUUCUCAAAAAACUUGAGGGUGUAGGCAUCUUUUAUCUGCAUAUUACGAAAAUAGUUAGUUGUGAGAAUCUUCAGAUCUCCAUUUCCAUGAUGUAAAGAGUCCCAACAGAGAUCACAAUUGCAAUAUAUAUAACUAUUCCAUUUUUUUAGAUAGAUCGCAAUUGCAAUAUACAUAACUAUUCCAUUUUCUUAGAUUUUAUGCAGAAUUCAAUAUGUUCAAGUUGUUCACGGUGAUAUUGAUGCCCCGAUAUACAUGACCAGAUUUUAAGAAAUCCCAUGCAGACAAAACACAUAUGGAAUCUGAAUUGAUGUCUACACAUUCAUCAUGAUCUACAAUACACAAUGCACCUAAUUUGCAUCAUUGAAUUCAUAUGGCAUAAAUAGAUUCAUGUUUUUGAGGAAGUUUGGCAAUAUAAAAUUUCCACAGGUCAAAUAAUGGAGUUAUGUUUUGACAAAACCAUUAAACCUUUGAUAUCUUGUAAUUAAAUUAGUAAAUGCAUAUAGGUGUCAUUGUCUACGUAUAUGCAUGUAUAGUAUGAAUGUACACAUGAAUGUAUCGGUAUGAAUUACUAUACCACGGGCAUGUUAUAAUUAAUUUGUGUGAGCACAUGCAUGUGUUUGUAUGUCUGUGCACGCGUGUUUGUGUGUGUGUGUGUGCAUCUUUGGUUCUCAAUAAGAGUGGUUCCACACGACUUUGGUUCUCAAUAAGAGUAGUUCCACUAUAGAAUUUGCACAUAUGGAACUGCCAGCUCUCCCAAGAGCAUUCUAGCCCAACCCACUAGAGAUAACUUAAUCUAAUCAUUUACUAAAAGUAUAUUCUAGGGAUAAGCUACACAGGCAUCCAAACAGCCCCUAAAAGUCAGCUCCUAAUUCAAAGUAUAAAAGAAUGAUUCCUUAGAAAAAAAUGUAAACAAGAUAUUGAUGUCACCCUGCUCAAAAAUAUUUCAUGCGCAUGAUGACCCAACUGCUCCAGCCAGUUUGAGCAAAACUUACGGUGAACUCAGUGACCUGUAUGUUGGCAGCAAUUGGAUCAAACAGCCCAGCUUCCUUGUACAUUACAAGAACAAACGCAAUACAAGAGGCUGACUUCCCGUCAGAGUAGACCCAAUCAUCUUGUUCAGGAACUGUCAGCAAUUUGUCAAAAGAAAUCCCAAGUUUCUCUGCUUCAACCAUAAUUGCAGGCAGAUCAAGACCCUACAAAAUCUCAGUUUCAUGAACCUUAAUGAGGAAACAAAAAAGAAAAUGUACACAACCUUAAAAUUGAACCUAUAUUUAUUUUCAUGUAUAUUCAACAAGAAACUAUGAAAAAUAGAGUACCAGGACUCAACUCUGAUUGUCAGUUAAGCAAUGUUCACCCCAAUGAGGUCAUAAGAUAGCGAGAAAAGAGGAUAAUAAACCCCCAAGGUGCAAGAUCAAUCUGUCAGUAUAAAAGAUGCUGUUGAAUCCAGUACUAAAUCAAAUUAGGGUGGGUUAAAAGAUAAAUAAAAUCAUGUUAUGCAAAAGCGCAGUUGAUUUCAGAUGCUAUGAGUGUGGUAUUCAUGGUUGCUAUUCUCAUCAAAUGUCAUCCCCAACCCAUGUGAAGUUGACGAUGCAUACUCAUUUUGUCCAAACAAUAAUCCAAAACCAAUCAGUGGUGUUUAGCACUGCAAAUUAAUGUUGAAAUGAGGACAUGACCACCAUCAACACAAGAUGUAGUAAUUGGCUCUGGUUCUUGAGGCCGAAUCAAGUAGCAGUAGAAACCAGCAUCACAUGAGGGUUCUGGUCAUGCGCUGAUUCACUUACAAAAGUCGAACUUGUCGACGGCUUUGGACCAGCAACUAGAAGUACCAAUCAAGUGCUUUAGACAAGUCAAUUGAUCUUCGUUACUUGAGUCAUCGAGUCUUAUUAGUCUCACCAUUAUCAUUUUAAUCAUUAGUUAGGUCAUGUAAUUUUCAAUUAAUUUGUUUUAUUUUCUGUUUUCAUGCUUAUCCAUGAAAUAAUCUACUUCACGGCUUGGGCAUAAAGGCAUCAACUUUAUUUUAAUUUUACUUGUUCAACAAGUUACUUGGGCAUGGAGUGAUGUCCGACUUUCAAUUAGAUACUACCAAAGGAAGUUUUGGUCACAGGCCCGUUUUAUGGGCGUUACCUACUCUGUUAAAAACCUACAUCCACCGCGGUUAUGUUGAUUACAGCGGGACACAUAGUUUACAACCCCUGCUUACUUCAUAAUAAAUGAUAUUUUCCAAAGCUUGAGGAGGUCUGUGUUACUCAUGUCUUCCAUGAAGGCAAUAGACCAUCAGAUCAUGUUGCUGGACUUGGAGCUUCCCUGGAGGAGCAUUGGAUUUGGGACCUUAACUUUCCAUCGGGCCUUGUGGCUCUUGUUUUAUCUGAUGUAAUGGGCUCUGGGUGUUUUAGGUUGUAGGAGCCUUCUGUCUUCCAUUUGAGUUCUUAGUGUGAUACAAAGGUGGACGAGUGAAUCCUGAUUUGCAAAGUUGGAUGAGCGAAUCCUGAUUAUCACAUAUCUUCUUUCUAAUUCUCUUUUCUUCUAACAUGCAUGAGGCUCAAUUGUGGUAAGUGAUCAUACUGGAGUGGGUCUGGAUCUUACCCCACUUCCCUUCUCUGUCCCAUCUUAACUUUUUUUCCCCUUUGUGCGUUUCCUACAGCGUCUUUUUUUUUCUAUUUCUAAUCUAACCAAAAUCCUCAAUCCAUAUGUCAAAACCUAAUCAUCUAUAGCAUACUUUCCAAUUAGAAACAUUAAUAAUAUAGUUGCAUUCAUUAACCGCUCAGAUCUAAAUAGAAAAUCCAGCCAACCAUAGAUUUUUGUCCUAGUGGAAUUACUUCCAAUAUAAUUCAUUUAAUUGCACUUCCCAAAGUUUGGUUCAUUCUUAGUGGAAUAGUUAGUAAAGAAAUUUUAUGCAUAUGAUGUUGUGUUAAUUUCAAAGCUGCUCUCAAAUGCUUGCGUGCUACCUAGAUCUCAUACCAGCAGCUAUUGGCUCUCUAAAAUCACUUCUAAAUUAACUAAUAAAUGUUCCUUAUAUUUUUCAGCACCAUUUUGAUACAAAUAAUAACAUUUCCAAAUGACACCAUUAACAUAGCUUUUAAUCAUGAAUAGCAUCAACCCAAUUUGCCUAUCAUUUGAACAAUAAUGGAGGUAAAGAUCACAACAAGUAGAUACAAGGUUCACCACAGCAUAUUGAAAGUGUUAAUGUUACCAACAAUUAAAAUGUUGUCAGGAUCAUGAAUCCAUCAUUUACAAUCAAUAAGCCACAUUAGCAUCAUAAUGGAUUGAAGAACUAGCCCAUGCAGCCCAUACCAAUACAAGGUGCCAGUUGGGCAUACAGCAAUACGAACUGUAUUGGCCAACGACCAGGACAACCCCGUACCUCAGCAGUUUAAACCUUAAGCAUAACUACACAUGUUUUUGUUAUAUGACUCGAUAAGAUGCAUUUAAUAAAGAAAUUACUACAUACUAGUAUUGGAUAUUAACUUGUCAUGGAAAAGCCAUCAAACAGUGUACACGGAAAAUUUUAUACUUCAGUGACCAUAUUCUUGCAAAAGACUAACAUAUACAGCAUUAGGACUAUGAUUCAUGGAAUCAUUUAUCUUAUUGCAGUGAGCACAAAUCAGAUUUCUGGUAGAUGAUAUACACCACAUUUAUGCAGUCUACUCAUCAAUGAACAUCGGAGUGGCAGUAAAUUAGGUUGGGUCUUGUUCAGGUUAGGUAAUCCCCAUGCCAAGAUGGAGAGGCUGAACAGGAACAUGACUGACCUAAUGACAAGUCUCUGAUCUGAGCCAACCCAUCUAACCAACAAAAAUAUGCCCUCAAUAAUGAAAUAAAAAUUCUUAUCUAUUGCCUAUUUGGGUAUAGUGGAGGAGGUUGCAGUUUUGGUGUCACAACCCCUGACUUCAAGAGGUAAGCCUUGAAGUUUAGGCCUUAUUGAAGAUCUCAGACAAAUGAAGGAAAAGAGAAGGGGUGGGGGGGAGGGGGGGGAGAGAGGUGUGUUAGUCCCUGCAUUCAGAAACUGCCCUAGGCUAAAGUAUUUUUUCAUAUAUAGGCCUGGAUGACCCAUUGGGGUGGCAGAUGGUCUAACUGAAAUAAGCCCAACGUGACUCUGUACUUAUCGCUAUGACCAUAUAUUUCAUAACUCUACCACAAACCAAACCAGCUUAUAUUUGAGUUUAUAAUGAUUGACCCCAACCCAAGCAAAAUUGCAGAUAGCAUGACCAAAGUCAGCCCAAAUUGUGUCAGAAAAAGGGAUUCAAAAUUGGAACUCACCCAUGCUAAUUCCAAUAAUGAAAUCCUACUACAUUAAAAACAACAAAGAUUAACUUCCUUGUUUCUACUAGAACCCUGUUUGGAGGCAACUGGUUACCACUCCACAUAAUUCCAUCAGCCAUAUAUUGGACACCUCUGAAGACAAAACUUAAAGUGUUCCUAUAAUAUCCUGAAAAUUGACCCAACUGCUACUUAUGUAACUAGGAAAAAUAGACUAUCCAUGAAAAGGAAACUGGAAGUUUUUCUGUUUUUGACGAGAGAAAGUUUGACUAUUAAAAUACUAGCAUGGAUAUAUGAAAAGAAGAAUUUGGCCAACAAAACACAUAAAUAGUCAAACCUCAGUGCCAAGUCGUAAAUUCAGGGCUUCAUUCCACAAAUUAGCAGCAUAGGCUGGCUGGAUAUUACUCCACACAGUCAUAGCAGAAGCAACCUAUGUUACAUCAUAACUAGCAGUUAGGACUCUCUUUAAAGAAAGAGAAAAGGAAAAAGAGUGAGAAAUUUUAAAUUAAUACUGUAGAUCUAAUCAAUAGUUUAACAGUGCGUCUGUGUAAAUUUGUAUUUAGAAGCUUUAAACCGAGAUCACCCAAGGAAUAUGUUGCAUGUCUCGAGAUCAUAAUUUUGCUGCAGGCAAAUACUUAAUAUUAUGAACAUAAAAACCAUUAUUGUGUUAAGAUAUAAGGGAAACAGAAAUAAGCAUCCUCUUCAAUGGGAUUGACAUUGGUCCUAUUUUUAGGGUACACCAUAUGAAACUUCAGUAAGCACAAACUGAAACUACAACCACAUAAAUUAACUUUCAAGCUUAGCAUAUUAACAAUUCCCUUAGUAAAUUGUAACCCUAAAAUUGGACACUAUUGAAGAGCACCAUAUGGUCAUGUUUAGUUUCUCAUUAGAAAAGAAUUAAUUUCAGAGAAAUGGUAGAAUACAAGAAUCAAAAUACAAAUGCAUGCAUACGUAUAUACAUGCGUACAACCAUGAGAUUGGAGAGUAAUAUAAUCCAUCAAUACACCAAACAUGAACUGUUUGUAUGGAUUACAAAUAUUCGGAGAGGAAAAUGGUGAACAGAUGAAUAAGAACAAACUGUUCAUAGAACGAGAAAUUCAUGAGUUAAUAUAUAUAGGAAGCUAUAGGUAAAAUGGCAAGCUUGAAUGAUAUUGAAAAUAUUCUGAUUUACUUAAAAUAACAUGUAAAUUAAAUGCAUUAGCAAAUUAAAACUAAGCCAUCAAUAUAUUUAUCUCAAGUUAUCAUAAAACUAGAGAACACCUCAAAAAAUAUAUCAAAUACGUUUUAAAUUCCGCAUAAUCAUGUCGUAAUGGCUUGCUUUAACCAUCAAUGCCUCAAAAAAUCCUCAAAUGCUGGGACAAACAAGUGAUUGGCUCCCACCAAUGCAUCCUUUUGCAUGCAUGAAUCUCCAAAAUUGGGUAAAUAGAUGACUUUCAGGAAAGGCAUUUUUAACUAUGUUGCAUAGAUGGUGCUUGGCAAUUGCCCACAAGAUUUAUUGAUAAAUCUGAAUAUCCCAGAAUAUCAUACAUAAUACGUGACAUGUGCAUAAAAAACUAGCAAAUUUUCAACUUGAUUUAAAAAAAAAAAAAGGAAUUAUAUUAAGAAGUAUAAGAAGAAAGAUACCAGAUGUGAAUCCAAGGGUGGUGGGUAAUUCCCACUUAUAGUAUCUAUCCAGCUGAAAAUCAUAUUGUGGUAACCAUAAGGCUUUCCUAUCAUGCUGUUUGCAUACUCCCAAGCUGCAGUAGAAUUAAAUUUGGCUCGAACAUCUGGAUGCAGAGGAAGCAAUGCAAUAUGGGGAUUUGCAUCAUCUUUGGUUUGCUCAAAGUCCCACCACUCCUCCCAUGGCAUAACAACAAUAACAUCUUCUCCCUACAAAGAAAGAAAACAUGAGCUCCAUCACUACUAAGAUAGUGAAUAUAAAUCAUACCAUGAUCAGGCAGUCGUAUAAACAUCAAUUAGAAGUCUUCUAUAGAAGUUAUCUGAACAACCAAAACUCAAGAGGGGGCUAAAAAGAAACUUGCAAAAGAAAAGACAGCCUUCAAUCUUAAGCUAACAACUUAAAAAUGAAGUACAACAGGAAACUUGACAGCAAAUAUACUGCCAAUGCUUGUUAUCUGUAUCAUUUUUAAACCUUAAAGCAUUUACCUUGAUAGCAUAAAUUAUAAAACUGACAUAAAGUGACAAAGUACCGAUAAUGUAAGAAAGCAAUAUUGUGAAAAAGCACCAAGAAACUACUACAUCAAAUUUAUAAUGCUGUGAGAGAAUUGUGAAGAUGUAUUUCAGAGCCAGAACAUAACAUGAGAUGUGGAAUUUUGACUAAUCUUGCAACAACAUACCAAUGCAUGCACAUGCACGCACACAUGAAUGCACAGAGAUUAACAAGUGAACUUUCAGAAUGAACAUAAGUGUAUCCAAGAAGUUAUCUAUGCGUGUCUGCAUAUCAAUCAAAUUGAUGUAGAUGCAAGAAAAUACAUGAACUUAUAAGCAUCCAUAUGCAUUCUCUUCUAUACAACCAAAAGCAUGGAUGCAUGUGUGUGCACAUACACAUAAAUAAAAAAUAACUUAUGCUCAAGUUUACACAUUUAUAUGCAUAAAUGUUAAGCUAAAGGUAAUAGGAUGUGAAUAAAUGAAAAUGCUCCUCCAGUAUGAUGUCCAGUAGUUAAUACUGCUUGAUUCUCUGUCACCAGACGCUUUCAUGUAUAUGUUCAUUUUUCAGAUAUAGCUAGGAUUAGAAACAGCAUGAAAGAUAACUAGCAUAAAAUAUAUAAAGCCAAAUUCCAUAUAGUUAAAACAAGGCAUAAGUGGAGUUAUCAGCUAACAGAAGUUGAUCAAGCCUAACCUUCUCAUUUUCAUGGCCAGACUCUCCAACAAAAAGCUUUCCUUCAGAAUCCUUCAAGAAAACCGCACUAUGACCAGCAUAGGCUCCAGUCACCCAUUUCUCUAAAGUCUCAAAACCACCCCAGCGUCCCCGAAUUUUUGAUAUAACUAAAAGAUCUCCAGAGUGAACAUCAUCAGGGUUAAUAGUGGAAACCCACGGUUGUGGACGUUCCUCAAACGUUGCCCCCAUAUGCUUCUCUAGAAAAGCAAGAUUCGAGUUUUCGCCCCAUCCAGUAUUUGUAAACAAAGGAAAAACAUCCCACAGUGCUCGGAGGGUUCCGAUCAUCCCUGAUUGCAUAAGGAAGAUUGAUACUCCAUUUUCUUUCACCUGAUGUCAUGAAAAGUUUAAAAAACUUCUUUGCCAAAAAAAAUCAGAAAAUAAUACUUUCUUUGUUAUACCUAGAUUUUAAUUAUUUACAGUAUGAACUUACAUAUUCAUACUCAGCUUGUCCCUGCCACUCAUCAAAAUCCAGAGUAUGCUCUCGAGACAAAAAGUAGUAAUCCCAGGUUACUCGGAAUGGAGUUGCAAAGAUGUAAAGAUCCAUACAUGUCCAACUAUGUGCAUUGCUGGUCUGGACAGAAAAUGAAGAAAUUGUUAGCUUCAUGGGUUAUUUUAGCCAAAAAGCACGUCAGCAAAUAACACUGAAAACAUUGGUAGAGAUAGCUCCUAUUUUCGAUAUUUUAGUAUGAAAUAUAAUGCUAUUGAUAAGGAAGUGCACGAAGAACUUUUGCUGCAAUACAAGUGUUCAACAUACAAAUCAGCCAGAGUUGGCGAUUUAUUGCCGAGACUACUCGAAAGAAGUGUUUUACGAGUUUCUUUUUAUUCUACAAGUGAUUUCUGGAUUUCUGGCGAUUAGCAUCGUGGGUGAUUUUACUUUUCUAUUAAGCCAUAAUAUGCUACCUAUUUGGUUCAGCACUUUUCCUGGGCCAAUUGACAAACUUCUCAUUAUUAUAAAAACUUUAAAUUUUGGCUUAAUAAUUAAGUUCGUCGGGCGCUGUCUGAUCUUUUUCUGUCAAAAACUAAGACAUAAACAUAGAAGAACAAAAUAGCCAAACUUCCCCAAAAGACCGGAGGGGAGUGGAGCGGGGGUGCCGGUGGGGGAGGGGAAGUUGCCUUUGUCCAAGAUCAGUGAAAAUAACAGCAAAACAGUAGAACUAAACAAGAAUAGAAAAAAGAAAACGUAGGACCCCCUAACUAGCUAAUCAUGAGAAUCCAACCUAAGCCCACACACCCAGUAACCCAGUUUCCCCAAAAUCCCUCAAAAUACUCAAGAAGAUAGGAACUUGCUUCCUGCCCAAGUGAAAUUAACGCUAAGAAAACCUAGAAGCUAGCUAUAUCAAAGAACUCAAAGGCUCAAUUCCCACAAAACCCCUCAAAAGACGAAAAAAGCAUCAAAAUUUUAUCUGCGCCCGAGCUUAAAACCCCAAAACACGUGCAGUGGAGAUGAGUUUUUUUUUCUUUUGUUCUUUUUCCGCGGACCUUGAUGUGGAGAGUGCCGCCGCCGAACGGGGUACCGCUCUUGUUGUGGAACUCCAGCCACGCUCGGUUCUUAUAGAAGCAUGCGCCCUUCCACUCGAGGUCGUCGUUGGUGGAGGAGGCGGCGCCGACGAAUGUCGGAAGGAGGUCGACGGCGCUACGAAGGGACCGAAGGAUCCGCCAUGAGACGAUUCUUGGAAGCAGCGGAAGGAAAUCCGUCGGCCGGAAAGGAGCCUUCCAACACCCAUCCCCACAAUUCGAAGGAGAAUAAGAAGAAGAAGAAAAAGAGAAAACGAGAAGAAGAGCGAUUAGAAGCAGGAGAAGAAAGAGAGGAACUGAGAGGAUUCUUUUGAAAGGAAACGACUUCAUGGCUCCGAAGAAAGGAAGAGGAGAAGGGAAGAGAUGAAGGCGUAGAGCGCGAGGGUUUAUUUAUACAGUUUUUUUUUUUUUUUUAAAUGGAAAAGAGAAACUCUCUAGGUGAUGACGGGAAGGAGAUCUCGAUUAUGAGACGCAAGAAGCCCCCCAAAAGAUAAAGAAAGAGAUUGCCUAAUCUGACACGGAUCUAUCGCAACGAAAGUGAUAGGCUUAUCAUAGCCGUCCAUUCGUUAUCAUCAUGUCGUUCCCAGAUAAUUUGAUGGAUACUUUGUUCCGCGGAGGCGUGGACCGGACUCUUGUGGGAAAAUGAGAGCCAUGUGGAAAUGGGAUAUUCCUUAAUUAUUUCCCGGGAGGCAGGGAGGUAUCCGAGUCAGGGAAUGCGUGGAUGGACCGAAAUGCCCUCGUUCUUGAUUCCAAAAAGAACCAGGUGGUGGGCCACCAAACACCAUCGCGGAACAUCAACGUGCUGCGGUAUGUGCUACAGACAUUGCCUGUUGGAUGUGGUCAGUAGCAUGUGGUAAUAAGUGUCGUUGUGCAAAAUUUCAACUAGGAAUACGUCAAAUUUUUGCGUUAGGGUUAAUAUAAAAUGGCAAACAUAAUUGUGGAUAUAGCAUCAAAACAGUUCAUAAACGGAAAUUAUAUAUNNNNNNNNNNNNNNNNNNNNAUAUAUAUAUAUAUAUAAUAUAUAUAUAUAUAUAUAUAUAUAUAUAUAUAUAUAUAUAUAUAUAUAUAUAUAUAUAUAUAUGUUUACUUUUUUCUAAAAAUUUUAGAGGUAAAUUAUAAAAAUUAUAAAAUUAAAAAAAAUUAUAUUUCCAUUCAAUAAUUUGAAAAAUAAUAUUUUCUGCACUCUAAAGGAUAAAAUCAAAAAUAAAUAUAGAGUAUCUUUUCUAUUUUUUUAAAAAAAUUAAUCAAAAAAUAUCACAGCAUAUUCUUUAAAAAAAUCUGCAUUUAUCUUCUGGAUGUUAGUUGAAUCAUUAAUUUUAUAUGAGAUCCAAAUACCAUAUUAAAAAUUAAAAAUAAUUAAAUUAAUCUUAAGUGAUAAAAUAGUCAUCCAAUGAUAUUCAUAAAAAUAUGUGUAUCCUUCAUCCUAUCCACAAGUAAUUUCAACUUUUCAUAUAAAAUAAAUAGUUUUAUUAAUACUAUUAAUUCAAUUGGGUACAAGGAUAGAAUUUACAAACUAUUAAAUAUAAAUAUAAUAAAUAAAAAUAUCAAGAGGGGUGUUGAUAUUGUAUAGUAUGAUAAUUAUAUGUUUGUUAUAAUGGACUUUUAAGGGAAGAAAUGGUUAUAUAUCCUUAAUAAAAAAGAUAAUUGUUAUAAACAGUAUAGAAGAUUUUUCUUGGCUCAUCUGAGAAAACAAGAUAUUGUAUUUGAACACCAUGAGAGUCAUAACAGAGUUGGUACCACAAAGUCUGUUGCAAACAUCAUCUCUAUACUGAAGGAGUUGUUGAGUUUUUUGGUAGCUAUAAAUAAGUUUGUGGUGGAUAUACUUCUUAUUUCUUUGCGAAAAUAGAAUUCUUGAUCAUUGCCACCCGAUCUCAAAUAUAUGGCAUUGAGAGUUUCCUAAAGCUGUAGAAAAUAUUCUUGCAUAUUUAAUUUGGAAGUCUACUAGAAUAAAGUUACUAACAUGAAUAACUUAAACAUUAGUUCAUGAUCAACGAAUGCACGGAUCCAUGAAUAUUUAUUUAGCCUAUCAAGUUUUAAUAUUUUUUGAUUAAAAAUUUCUCUGACUUAAAAGUUAAAGCAUAGAGAAUUCACUUUAAAAAAUGCCACUUAAUUUAAAAGUUGGACUGCAUACUUCAUGUUCACUUUUUUUUUCCAAAAUCUAAUGAUUCAAAAUUAAUGAUUGACUAUCACAACUUGCGAUCUAAAAUAUUAAAUAUAAUUUACCUUAAAAAAGUAUCCAAAACCAAAAAUUUAUGUAUAUUAAUAGUCUUGAACCUAUCAUCAAGUAACUGUCAAAGAUGUUUUUGAUAGAAUGAUUUAAUAAUUAUCAACUUAUUUUACAAAAGGUUAAUAGAAGGUAUAUAGCCUAGCACCUAAUUUAGUGGCUUACAUCUAAAACAAUCUUAUACUACCACCACACUAUCUUCUUUUGGGCAAUAUUUUUAUUUUUCUUAAUGAAAAGUUUUUCUUUGUAAGUCAGAUUUUAUUUAGAGAUCAAAAAAUAAAAUAUACAAAAAAUUGGUAAGAAUAUGCCACAAUAGUCCACAAUAUAAUCUCUGUAUGAUUCACCAUAUAUGUCAUCAUUUCAUCUAUUAUACUAUUUAUUUCUCUAUAAACAUGUGUCACGUAAAUAUAAAGAUGCUUCUAUUCUCCAACAAUAAUGAAUCAAUGAAUAAGAAUCGAUGUCGAUAUUUGAUGAAUUUGAUAGCUACCUAACCAAUCUCAAAAAAUCUCCCUUGAAAUAACAUGAAAAGCUUUUAACUAUUUCAUAGCAUAUGUUAGAUCUUUUCAUGCAAGCCUAAAAUAGUGAAUAGAUCAUCCAUGCUUCUGUGUUUGCACUUUGGCGCCUAAUAGUUAAUAUAACAAAUCUCAUUUCAUUUUGAGUGCAUAUUUUAAAUAGUAAACUCUAGAGCCAGGACCACUUAUUGUAGCAUGGCGUCCAUAGAAGCGGAAACAUGUCAGGUCUAUCUCCAAAAGCAAUGCAGGGACGAAGUUGCUGUCUUGUGCCACAUAAAUUGAGAGGAGAAGUGGGAAAGAGUAAUUAAGAGGAGAGUUAAGAAGAGUUGUGUGCGUGUGUGUGUGUGUGAGAGAGAGAGAGAGAGGAGAAAAGCAGGGAAGGAAGGAAAGCCACGGAUGGAGAGUAGAAGAGUAGAGGAGAAUAGGAGAUGCUUGGUAUAUAUCUUGCUGAAACAAGAAAACUAGAAAGAGAUGAAAUUGCAUGAGCUGCCACUUGGGUCUCUUUGAUUAACAUGAACCACUGUCCCAUUCUAUUCAAGGGGCACGCUUUUUUUGCUUGUCAACAUUGUAGGACACACUAAAUCAAAUAAAAGAUGUAAUGUAUAGACUUUUAUUUGUCUUCACUUUGCAGAGAUCAAGUAUUGGGUGUGCUACAAUGGACCAGUGACAGUAGCCUUUGAUCUAUGACUAGCUUAUACUUCAAAAUUCAAGCUAUGGAUGGAUAAAAAAUGAAGCUUGAUGCAUGUAAAUUUAGAAGCAAUGUAAAUGAAUAGCUAUGACCAAAAUAAUGUGCAUAGUCGAACAUCCAAGAUUUGUCCAAGAGAUUACAUGUGCAGCUAAUGAAAGCUUGGAGCUAGGAACUCCGCAGCAUUAUUCCAAUUGACAAUCAAAAUAACAAUUCCAUGAGUCUUUAGCAUAUUAUACUAAACAUGCUAAAUCAAAUAUUGCAAUAACAAUUGUUGUCAUUAUUUCUCAAAAAUUUACAAAAAAAAUCUUAAAAAUCAUCAUUAUGAUAUAACGAUCGCUAUAUAACCACUAUAAUGUUUGGCUAUUUCACUAUUCACAAGCUUGAAAUGAUAUUUUUAAGUUCAAAUGUUCUUGUCAUUUUGAAAGCAAUAUUUCAUAUUGUGAAUGAUAAAAGACUUAUUUUCUACCAUUAUUAUCCUAUAACUUCCACCAUAGGUAAAACAUCCGUAUUUCAUGACCCAAAAGAAUUAGGCAAAGCUAGAUUGGACGUAUGAUGGGUAUUUUUCCAAUUGUUAUGAUGAAGAAGAAGCCCCUGCUUAGGGAAUAUCGGCGCAAACUAUUAUUUUAUCUGACAUAGAGGAAAGUAGGUGGUAGCAGGGUGGUGGAACACGGUGAUCUCAAGUUGUCCCUCGAAACUCUCAGACAUAACUCAUGUGAUGGAAAGCAAUCCAAGUAUCCAACUGAAUUCAAAUAUCAAUAGCUAGAGGCAAUCUCAGCCACAUUUGCCACCAACCCCCUUCGUCCUCCACCACUAGGUUUUGUUCAGUCAAUGGACAGUGUUUGGUGUCAGGUUUACUGCUGAACUCGUGAAUGCUCGAUGGGUCAGUCAUGUUGUUUCAGCCAUACUUUCCUUUUUUCCCGAAACAAGAAACAAAUUUUUAGCCGCCUGUAAAACGAUUGCAAAAUAUUCUUCAUGGAUGAACUAUGGGUUUUGAACUAAUUCAAGCCAAGAAACUAGAUAAAUUGAUCACAUAAUUUUUUCAAAAAAAAAUCAAGCAGAAGUGGAUUGGACUGGAUCACUUUUUUGGAAACAAUGAAAGCAUGGAUCAAGGUUAUACUUAUAUCACAUAUCAUAAUUUUAAUGCAACUAUGAAUUUAUGAUCAUAAUUUUUCUGUGGGUUUUACCUGAUAGUGCAAUAGCACGUAGAUAACUUUGGGACAAUUGUGCUUCACAAACCUAGUUGGCAUCAUUCGCCGACACAAGACCUAGAUGAUUAUGAGCCACAUAUUAUCAUAACAAACUAUUACUAUCAAUUUCUUCGUCAUCUGUUCGUCAGAAAUGAGCAUCUACAAAAUAAAAUCCGUACUGAUCGAAGUUGUCUCCGACGAAAAUCCUCUGAUGCUUAAGUCAGAGAGGGAGACCGGACAAUAGUAGAAUGAGAACGGUGACAGAGCUCAGCGUCAAAAAUGACUUACCGAAACUUGUUGCCUUACCUUCUUUUUAUAGAGUAGAUCGUUGUAACUGUCGGAUAUGGUCCCGCAUUUAGCGGUGUAGAAUCACGGAGCAGUAAUCUCGUAAUGGGUUAUUAAUCUCCAUAGAUUACGUCGCGAUAUCAGUGGAGUAACCGUCCGUGACGAUUAUGAUAUAUUUGAAUGAGUCGACCGACUGUGCGUCGGGAGUCGGUUGUCGGUUAGUAACUCUGAAAUAUCGAUCGAUUUUGAUUCGGUGAGGGGUGUUUGGUUGGUCGGUCGAGAGUAGCAUCGGCCUACUCAGUCGAUAUAUAGUCGGUAAUUGCUUAUAGGAUUGUCUGUUCGUUUGGUGGGUCAGAGUCAGACGUCAGUCGGUGUAUGCCAGAGAUCGAUCGGUUUAUGGAGAUCGGUCGGUUUACUCCAAUAGUUGCCUCCUACUCCCGAGUCCAAUGGUGAAUCAUCACGUGCGUCGUCACGUAGUUAAUCGCCUUAGACGAAAGGAGUUGUUAUCUGUCAUGUCGAAUCUCGGCUCUGACACCACUUUUGUUGGAGUACGAUCGAAUAGUCAUUUUGUCGCUUUCGAGCCGUCGUAUUGGCAGAAGAAUCUAGUGUCAGGCGUCGUAUCGGGAAUGUGAACCAGCAUCGUGGGAUUUAAUUCUGGCAUGUAGAUUUUCGUCACGUGUCAGGAUGCUAUUGGGUCGGAGACAUUCAUGCGGAUAGGGAUGACAUGGUUCAAUCUGGGGCAGGUGCGUCGAACCGUCGAUCGGUGAUGGGUCCAGAUGCUACCACGUGUCGUCAUCCAGCGUGUUCUCGAUCUGACCGCUUUCAUCUGGGCCAUCGAGCAUUCCUAUAUAAAGAGACCGCUGUCAGCCAGGUACUCAUCUCUCAUUUCAUCCUUUCUGAUGGGAGAGCUUUGUCAGAGAGCCGCUCUCGAGUAAAAAAUGUUUCUUGUCAUUUUCCAGAGCCCCCCAAAUGGUUUUGAUGGAUGAGGUUCUUGCAAGGGGUGGUUGGUUGGAGAUUCCAGCUGACGGCCCCCUGUCGGAUCCGGAGGUUUUCCUGUUAUGUGGUCCGAUUGUAAGUAGGUUUCGGAAGCGAAAUUAUGCUUCGAGCCGAUGUCAGCUUUUUACCUCUGGUGCCGAUGAUGGGGUCGACGACCCGUUAUCGUGUAUUCCGCAUCUCCGUCUCAGCUGCAUGAUCAAAAUUAUUUUUGUCGGCGGACGAAAAUCUAAAGCCCGCCUCUAGCUCUGGUUGUCGGUCGGGCUUCAGCAAGGAGAGUGCGGUCGUUGAUCGCAUUUUUCAUGUAGAAGUGGAUCAGGCUGUUGGCGUGGUUGGGGGCAGUAUGACUGGCCAACCAUCUUCGCAGUCUGAUCCGAUUCGUAUCGUUCCUGAGCUGGAAGGUAAAGUUUGUUGGAGAAGUUGAUUCAAAGUGGGUCGUCGAUUCUUCAGCGGAACGAAAGGUGGCGACGAAGAUUAGUCGAUAUUUUUUUUUUUGUAGCUUGAUACUUGUAGUUGGACUUUGGCACGAUUUUGUACUUUCUUUUUUGAUAAUAAAUGAAAAUAUUUUUCUUCAAGAUAGAAUUUUUGUUUGCUGAAAUAUCUGUGAUAUCUGUCCGUGGAGUAAUCUCCGAAUGUAGAUUGUAGAUCCGACCAUUCCACAUAUUGUAAGGUCUGCUAGUCGUGUAGUUUCUAACGUAUUUAGUUAGGAUAAUGAUUGUAAAUCGUAUAUCCAUUACUCGGACCUUGAGCGGAUUUAUACAUCGUAUUAUCUAAUAAAUGGUAGCAAGCCGAAUAUCUCUCGACUGGCCAUGGUCAUGUCGGUAUAAUUCCAAUCCGAUCUUGAUCGUUUUGGUAUUUUGCCUUUCAUAGUUGAUACCAAGUCGGCAAAUUAGCCAGCCAUUUGAAUAAAAAGCUGACUAUGGGGGUGGCACGGCUUUUGUGGAGAAAAUCUGCAUGGCCAGUGCUAGCCUCCCGUUGAAGUAGAUAGGUAGGUUCUGCAAGGGAGUCGGGAUGCAGUCGGUGGUCAAGCUGAAGGUUUCUGACUUCUUUGGAAAGUUAAAUCUCAAGCCAUGACAUCGAUGAUCCGGCCUCCACAACGAGGACUGACAUUUCAUUAGAAGUCUGGUUUAUGAUUUCAAAACAGAACUGUAUUUUCAAAUGCGUACCGAGAUUACUGAUAGUACAAUUUUAGAUUGUCGGCGUUCCAUGUUCGGGGAAUAGCCGAAUCUUCCAAGGUUUCGAGCCGAUAGGCACCCGGUCUGUUUGUCUCUGAUAUCCUAUAGGGUUUUUCUCAGUUCGAAGAUAGCUUUCCUUGAUCUAGAGGUUUUGAAAUUUUUGCUUUUCUCAGAACUAAGUCUCCUGGUCGGAAAACUUUCGGCUUGACUUUGGUGUUAUAGUACCGAGCUAUCUUCUGUCGGUACGUGGCCAUGCGAAGUUAAGCUUCAUGUCGGAGUUCUGAUAAGAGAUCUAAGUCGGCUCUCUGACACUAAGAGUUGUUCGGUUCAUUGUAUUGCUCAACUCUUAUCGAUGGUAACCCGAUCUUGAGUGGGAUCAUCGUCUCCGUCCCGUAGGCUAAGUUGAAAGGAGACUCUCCAGUCGGUAUACGGGGAGUUAUCUGAUACGCCCAUAAGACUGGAUAUAGCUCUUCGAUCCAAAGACCUUUAGCCUCAUUCAGUCGGAUCUUUAACCCGUGCAAGAUUGUUCAGUUGGUCAUCUCAACCUCUCCGUUUGAUUGCGAGUGUCUGACUGAUGUAAGCUUAUGUAUAAUAUAAAAUUUUGUACAGAAUUCUCUGAAGUUCUGAUUGUCGAAUUAUCAUCCGUUGUCGAUGAUGAUGGUAUGCGGCAGUCCGAAUCUGUGGAUGAUGGAUUUCUGAAUGAAGUCUUUCAUUUUGUAUUCGGUGAUUUAGACUAGGGGUUCGACUUUUAUCCACUUAGUGAAAUAGUCGAUUGCAACCACUAUGAAUUUUUUUUUAUCAGAUGUCAGAUGAAAAGGACCGAGUAUAUCGAUUCUUCACUGAGCGAAAGGCCAGGGUGCGACAAUGGAUGUUAGCCGACUAGUGGGUUGAUGCUAUAUGUUGGCAUACUUCUGGCAUGGUUCACACCUUCGGACUAAGUCAUCCGCAUCUUUUUUCAUGGUGGGCCAAUAGUAAUCUUGUCACAAAAUCUUGUAGGCUAGGGACUUGCUCCCCAAGUGGCUUCCACAAAUUCCUUUAUGUACUUUCCUAAGUGCAUAGUCGGCAUCGGUCGGUCCUAGGUACUUCAGUGAGGAAAGGGAGAAUGACCUUUUGUAGAGAUGACCAUCCAUCAUCACAUACUGGGAAGCUGCCCAUCGGGUUCAUUUUGCUUCCGCAGGAUCUUCAGGGAGGGCUCCGUUGGACAGAUACCGGAUGAUCGGAUCCAUCCAACUAGGUUCGGCUGUUAGCUACAAUACUUUUUUAUUUUUGUCGAUGCUCGGUUGCUCAAGACACUCCACGAAUGUUCAGCCCAGCGAACUGUAAGCAGUCGUUGCCAGUUUGAAAAGUACGUCGGCUCGAGCAUUCUCGAUCCUGGGUAUGUGGAAGAUCUCAAAGUAUCUUAAAUUCAUCACGAGAUCUUUCACCUUUUGAAGGUAUUGCCAUGAUCGGGUCCCGAGCUUCAAAUUUGCCUUUGACUUGUCCCACGAUCAGUUGAGAGUCGGUGAAGACUUUCAAACUGUCAAUCUCGAGCUCCUUAGCCAUUUCAAACCGACUAAGAGAGCUUCGUAUUCAGCUUGAUUAUUUGAAGCUUUGAAAUCGAACUGAAGGAUGUACUCAGUGACUACCCCUUUUGAGUUGAUGAAAAUGAGGCUAGCUCCACUACCUUGAGCAUUCGAUGUCCCGUCAAUAUGCAGCACCCAGGUUGACCUUAGGUCGGGCUCGAGGGUGGCAGCCUCCUUCGUAGUUGCAUCUUCCGACUUGUUGUCGGCUAUUGUGCAUUCUGCGAUGAAGUCGGCUAGAAUUUGUGUCUUCAUGGACGGCCAUGAUUGGUAUUGUAUGUCAAAUUCAUCUAGCUUCACCGCCCACUUUGCCAUUCGUCCCAAUGUAUCGGGAUGGUGCAGGAUCGCUUUUAAUGGUUGAUCGGUAAGGACCACAAUGGAGUGUACCUGAAAGUAAGGACGAAGCCGUUGUGCCGAUAUGAUCGGAGUGUAGAUCAUUUUUUCCACUCUUGAAUAUCGGACUUCGGCGUUGUGGAGUACUUUACUGGUGUAGUAGACGGAUCGAUGAAUUUGAUUUUCGUCUUUCCGAACGAGUACCGAGCUAACCGCCUCUGUCGAUGUCGCUAAGUAGAGAUAUAGUAUUUCUCUGACCUUUGAUUUUAUGAGUAAAGAUGGAGAAGGCAGGUACUUCUUCAGUUCUUCGAAGGCUUGUCGGUAUACAUCUGACCAGGAGAAGUCCUUCAUUUGCCUCAAAGUCUUGAAGAAUGGUAGACAUCUCUCAGCCGACCUAGAGAUAAAUCGGCUGAGUGCAACGAUUCUCCCAUUCAGUUGUUGUACCUCCUUCUUCGUGUUUGGAUGAUUCAUAUCGAUGAUAGCUUUUAUUUUCUCGGGGUUGGCUUCGAUCCCUCAUUGCGAAAUAAGAAAUCCAAGAAAUUUCUUCGAGGUCACUCCGAACGUACAUUUGGUCGGAUUUAACCUCAUUUGGUGUCGUCGAAGCAUGUUAAAAGCUUCUUCCAGGUCUCAAAUAUGGUUCGAAGUCUGGGUGCUUUUUACCAAUAUGUCAUCCACAUACACUACCAUGUUUCGUCCGAUCUGUGCUUUGAAGAUUUUGUUGAUGAGUCGUUCAUAGGUGGCUCCAACAUUUUUCAGACCGAAAGGCAUUACUUUGUAGCAGUAUAAGCCCUUGUCGGUCAUGAAAGCUGUGUGUUCCUCAUCCUCUGGUGCCAUGCGGAUUUGAUUAUAUCCAGCAAAGACAUCCAUGAAGCUCAGUAGUCGAUGACCCGAUGUCGUGUCUACCAGCUAGUCAGUCUUUGACAAUGGGAAGCUGUCUUUCGGAUAGGCUCGAUUCAGAUCAGUGUAGUCGAUGCAAAUCUUUCAUUUUUCGUUGGUCUUUUUCACUAUGACCAUGUUGGAGAGCCAGUCUGGAUAUGUGGCUUCUUUGAUGAAGCCCGCCGCAAGUAGUUUGUCGACUUCCUCGUCGAUGGCUUUCUGUCUUUCCAGGGCAAAGGACCAUUUUUUUUGUCUCACUGGCUUGACGUUUGGACUGAUGUUAAGUCGAGGAGUUAUUAUUUUCAAAAGAAUACCGGGUAUGUCCAUGGCCGACCAAGCAAAGAUGUCGACGUUGGCUUUGAGCAAUUUGAUUAGUUAUUGUCGCUCCGAGUCGGACAAUUAUGACCCGAUUCAGAUCAUUUGCUCGAAAUUUUCUGUUAUCGGGAUGGAAGUCAAUUGUUUGGCUGGCUCACCCAUUUUUUGGUUCUCUCUUUAGUCUAAUUUGUCGACCAGUAGAAAGUCCUCAGGUUUAUUGUUUUGGGUGGGGAUCGUGAAACAACGUCGGGCGAGUUGUUGAUCUCCGCACAUCUCUCCGACGUCGUUUUUGAUCGGGAAUCAGACCAACAGGUGGUAUGUCGAGACUAUCGCUCUCAGAGCAUUUAGUCUAGGUCUUUCGAGUAUGGUGUUGUAGGCCGAGGGUACUCAGAUGAUCGUAAAGGUUAUGAAGAUGGUGUUUUGUUAUGGUUCAAUCCCAGCGGUUAGGGGGAGGAUGAUUUCUCCUUCCACUGUGAUCGCAUCUCCAGUGAAGCCGACUAAUGAUGUCGAGAUUUUUUUGAGUCGAUCAAUCGAUAAUUUCAUUCGGGAGAAGGUCGAGAAAAAUAGAAUGUCAGUUGAGCUUCUAUUAUCAAUAAGUAUCCUUUUUAUAUCAUAAUUUGCUAUUGUUGCUGAAACAACAACAGUGUCAUCGUGAGGAGUUUGAAUUCUCCGAGCAUCUUCCUCCGAGAAGGUUAUUACAUCAUGGAGUCUUGGUUGCUUCGUUGACUCUUCGUCGGAAGUUGCCCCCCGAUCCAGCCGUCUGGUGAUCAUGUUAAUGACUCCUGCGGUCGGUUGGUUAUUCACAGCUUCCUCAGUCGUUUGGGGUCGUCGAUCGAAAAGGAGUUGAGUCAGCGACUCCCUCCUAUAUUUUCUGAGAUAGCCAUGUCAUAUCAGGGCUUCUAUUUCGUCCUUGAGCUGGAUGCAUUGUUCGGUGUCGUGAUCGUAGUCUCGAUAAAACCGGCAAUACUUUCUUCGAUCAUGGUUCCUCACUUUCAUUAGUGGAGGGUGUCGUAGAUAUUCCACCCCUUCGAUCUCCAUGAAGAUCUGUGCACGAGGAGCAAAGAGAGGGGUAUAGGGAUUAUACCUGUCAUGUGUCGGCCUCAGACUCUAUUAUCGUGGUGAGGCUUGCUUAUUGGAUGGGGACCUACUUGUUUCGACUGAAGCCCCACUCUUGUUCUGCUUUUUUUUCUGAUCUUUGUUUUCUAUCUGACGCUGGUCAGAAACUCCUUCAUCCGCAUGCAUGUAUUUGUACACGCGUUCUAAGAGUUUAGCAUACAUCCGAGGGAGGGUUUUUUUCAGUGAGUACGUGAAUCGGAACCCCCUCAAACCUCUUUUCAUGGCCGAUAUGGUCAUAUCUUCGUUGAAGUCCCUGACCUCAAGCGUGGCCACGUUGAAUCGGGCCACGAAAUCUCAGAGUGUUGCGGUCUCUCCUUGUUUGAUCGAAAAGAAACUAUCUGAGGUUCGUGGCGGCCUCCGGCUGGUGCUGAAAUGGGCCACGAAGGAAUAUUUCAACUGCUCGAAAGAGUGGAUACUUUCCGACCGAAGCCCAGAGUACCAAGUCCGAGCAGCUUUUCGAAGUGUAGCCGAGAAGCCGAUGCACAGGAGGGCGUCGGUUGCUCCCUAAAUUGUUAUGAGAGCCUUGUAGCUCUCGAGGUGAUCGAUUGGGUCGGUGGAACUGUCAUAGGGCUCCACAUGCGGCAUCUUAAACCGAGUCAGGAUCGGUUCAUUCAAAAUAAGUUGGGAGAGAGACUGGGUGGUAUGAAAAUCGAAGUCGUUUGACGAUUUCUGACCGUCUGUCUGGAGCUGGGCGAGUCGGCGGUCGAUUUUCUCGAACUUACAUUCGUAGUCUUCAAGCCGUCGGUGGUGGAAGACUCCGGGGAUUGAUCCUCCCGAUAAACUAGAGGCAGACGGUAUUCGCGAUCGCUUUUUCUUCCUUACUCGAUCUAACUGGGAAGAAGAGGGGCAUCGUGAAUGGUGGAUGGCGCAUCAAGAGUGCUGCGAGUGUCACUGCUCAUCCCGUUGAGAGAGCCAAGAUCGCCGUUCUGGUGGAGGAGACGGAGAUCGUCGCGAAUGACGGCGGCUAUGCUUGGAAUGCGCUGAAUGCGCAACCUAUUGCUCCAUCGGCGGUUGUGGUGGCUGGAUUUGCUGUUGUUGGAGGAUUUUAACUGCCUCCGCGAGGAUGUUCAUUUGUUGCACGAUCACAGCAAUCUGAGCGUCUGUAGUAACCACGAGGCGUGGAGAACUGGGCUCUGCUACCGGAGGCAGGGAACGGGCCUCUUCCCGACGGGAAGAGUGUCUCGCCGAGCCGGUCGCCGUUGAUCGUUGAGCUCUGAUUCUCGUCAUUGCGAAUUUCCUUCUUGCCAUUGUCUUUCCCUACCUGACGCACCAAUCUGUUGCUGCCAAUCCCCUCGUCGUUUGUUCAUCGAAAACGAGCACCUGUAAAAUGAAGUCCGUACUGACCGGAGUUGUCUCCGAUGGGGACCCUCCGAUGCUUAAAUCAGAGAGGGAGAUCGGACAAUAGUAGAAUGAGAACGGUGACAGAGCUCAGCGUCAAAAAUGGCUUACCGAAACUUGUUGCUUUAUCUCCUUUUUAUAGAGUAGAUCAUCGUAACUGUCGGAUAUGGUCCCGCAUUUAACGGUGUAGAAUCACAGGACGGUAGUCUCGUAGUGAGUUAUUAGUUUCCAUGGAUUACGCCACGAUAUCAGUGGAGUAACCGUCCGUGACGAUUAUGAUAUAUUUGAAUAAGUCGACCGACUAUGCGUUGGGAGUCGGUUGUCGGUUAGUAACUCUGAAAUACCAACGAUCGAAGUAGUUUAUUAUUUAUAGAGUCCCAACAUCGGCCGUCUACCGAUCUUGAUUCGAUGAGGAGUGUUCGGUUGGUCGAUCGAGAGUAACGUCGGUCUGCUCAGUCGACAUAUAAUCGGUAAUCGCUUCCAAGAUUGUUUGUUUGUUUGAUGGGUCAGAAUCGGAUGUCGAUCGGUAUCGGAGAUCGAUCGAUUUACGAAAGUCGAUCGGUUUACUUCAACAUAAAUUAAUAUUAAUUUGAUGUAAAAAAAAUUGUAUUUUGACCUAUUCUACUAUUUUGGUACAAAGACGUUAGAAGCUGCAAUAAUGGCAUAAAUUAGUCGGGAUUGUUUAUAAUACUUUAAAUAAUAUAAUUUUAUAUUCAAAUAAUGAUUUCACAACAUUAACAAAAGAAUGAAAUUUAUUUUAGAAAUUUUAUUAUACUGAAACCUAGCUGCUCAGCUCUUUUGGUUCUUUUCAUUUUUAAAUUUAAUUAUUUUGUUGGUACAGAAUCUUGGUAAUUAGCAAGGCCUCUUUUUUAAAAUAAUGAUAUUUAUUAGAAUUUUAUGGGCCUUCUUUUCAACAAAUUUAUCGGUCUGCUGCACCCAAGCAGCACAACUAGUGAAGGGUAACCGGGGGUCGUUGCCUCGUUCCGGUUGGCCUCUUCCCUGCUCCACCUCCUCCUAUUUUUAGCUUGGAACGCUAUCUACCCUUUCUUUCUCGCUUUUAUUUAUUUUUUGUCGUCUCCCGCAUAAAUAUCUCAUCAAAAGGAGAGCUGCGUGUGUGGAGCCCUUGGCAGCAUCGGUGCAGCGCGUCCUGACAAAUGCAUUUAGACGGAUAGGUACGAAACCUCUUAUGCUGUCCCGCAAGACAUUAACGCCACUGACAAAUGGUCCACAUCCUCUUAUCCCAUCAUGCUCCUAUCUUUACUUUUAGUAAUUGCUUGGCUGAGAGACUAGGGACUCUUGAAACGAGAGUGGAACGAGUGUCUCAUUCCAACAUGGAUUCCGAUUUCGGCCAUGGAUGAAACGAAUCUAAAAAUAUGAAAUUUGUAUUUUUCAUUCCGAUUCACCCUAAUUUUAAUUUUGAUCGUAAAUUAAAUACAUUCAAAAUUUAUUAACUUAUUUAAUAUAUAAAUAUAUAUUAUUAAAAUUUAACAUUUCGAGAUUCGAUCUAUAUUGAGCUCACAGCGAGAUUCGUGACAAAAAAUGGAGGUCAACGAGAUCAAGAUCAUCUCAAAUGGAGCUCAGACGGAGGAGAUACGAGCUUUUGAAAUUGACACAAAACUCAAAACGAUGGAGGACCACCAGNNNNNNNNNNNNNNNNNNNNGCAGGGCGCGGCCCAGUGGGCGGGCCCGACCCCGGCCCAAGUGCGUGAGGCGCGCAGGACGGCCCAAGCGCGGGCGCGCGAGGCGCGGCCUAGGCCCAAGCAUGCGGGCGCGGGUCGGCCCAAGCCCACAUGCACGCCUGCGCGAGCUCAGCAGGCCGAUUCCCCGAUCCAUGGUGGACCAGAUGGUCCACAGCCGGGUCUGUGGAUCGCAGACCCAGUUUUCCAACCGUUUCUCGAGGUCCACGACACUAUUUCGUGGACCCGAGCAUGAUCGAACGGUCUGUGGCCUUAAUUAAGUUGGUUUAGGAGGCCUUAAGCUAUCAUAAUUGGGUUUUUAGCCUAUAAAUAGGCCUGAUUAGGGGGGACAGUGGUGUGGUGGUCUUUGGGCUUGGUUUUUCACGGGAGAAGAUCGCGAUCCCGUGUGGAGGCGCAACGGAAAAUCCUGUGAGAGGCUGUGAAGAGAGAGAGCCACGUGAUGCUGUGAGAGGAGCAGCAGGCUUCUGGACAGCGGACAGCGAUCGCUUCAGAGGUUCAAAGGGACUUCCUAAAGAGAGAGCUUUUGUGAGGAAGAACUUUCUGUGAGAGAGAAAUUGGGUGUAUCAGGGUUGAGGGUGAGAUCUCCUCUUGUAAAUUUUUUUUUUUAUAGUGAAGUUUGCAUGCCCCGUGGAGGCGAGUCUUUUUGUGACUGAUCCACAUAUUUUGAUUAUUUUUUGUUUUGUUUCUUCUUUCUUCCUGUUGCAUCGCGUGGUACUGAAAAUAUCCUGGGAUAUGGUAUCCUGACCAGACAUCCACCCAACAAGUGAUAUCAGAGCAAGACGGUACAAGGAUGCAGAUUGCAGUGGUGGUGAGCAACACUGAAGAUGGAGAAGACAUGAACAAUCAAGAUGGAGAUCAACAAGUUUGAUGGAAAGAAUAAUUUCUCCUUGUGGCAGACAAGGAUGAAGGACGUACUCAUCCAACAAGAGUUGAUCGAUGCUCUCUUGUGCGAAGAGAAGCCGACCACCAUAAAUGUGCAUGAUUGGAAACGGCUACAGAUGCAGGUGGUGAGUACCAUUCGUAUGUACCUGACGGAUGAGGUGGUGAUCCAUAUGCUUAGCGAGACUUCUCCAACAAUGCUGUGGUCGAAGCUCGAGGAGUUAUACAUGGCGAAGUCUCUCACCAAUACUCUUUUCCUCUGGAGGUAGUUUUACCAGCUGCGGAUGACUGAGGGACAGAGCAUGCAGGAGCAUCUAAGCUACUUCCAGAAGAUCCUCACCGACCUCCUCAGCGUUGGUGAAAAUAUUGAGGAGAAGAUUAGAGCGCUGGUUUUGCUAGCGUCGCUUUCCCCUUCGUACGAGUCCUUGGUAACUGUUCUUCUAGUGGAGAAAAGCACCAUCAAGAUGAACGAGGUCACCGCGGCGAUACUCCAGAAUGAGAUUCUCAAGAAGGAGAAUCCAGCUUCGAGCUUAGGUGGCGGUAGCUCAGCUUUGAUGGCUUCUGGAGGAGCAGGAGGCGGUAGACGAAGCGAUAGGAGAUCGCGAUGAGAACGGUCCAAGUCCAAGAGAGACUUGAGCAAGACCAGAUGUUACCGGUGUGAGGAGUUGGGGCAUCUAACCAAAGAUUAUCCUCAACUCAAAAAUCGGACGACGGCUGCUGUAGCGACGGCCAGUAGCGAUUCAGAAGGAGAUAUCCUAGAGAUAUCUGACAAAGUAUCUACUUCUUCCCAGUAGUGGAUUUUAGAUUCUGCAUAACUCUAUCAUGUAUGUUGUAGAGAGGAGUAGCUUGAUUUCUUGGAGAAUAGUGAGGGCACUGUUUAUCUGUCGGAUAGAUCGAGUUGUGUUAUCAGAGGCAUCGGGACGGUCAGCUAGAGGACACAUGAUGGUGUAGUGAGGAUAUUGGAAGAGGUCCGAUAUAUACUCGAUUUCAGGCAGAAUCUUAUCUCAUUGAGCAGACUGAAUUCGAGAGGCUACAGAACGAUAGCCAGUGGAGGAAUCCUGAAGGUGCUACGCAGUGAUAGGAUUAUGUUGGAGGGAAAGAAGGGCAGGAGAGGACAUUAUUACCUGGCAGGGAGCCCAGUAUGAGGUGGAGCUUCAUGAGCCAAGUGGAGCCCAGAGCGAGGUGGAGUUGCAGGUGGAAGUGGAUCAGGUACGAGACAGGAGACUCGAGAGGAGAAAAGACGACGUCGCAAGGUGAGAUUCCUAUUGCUGCAGGAUGAUGCCCCGAGCAAGUCUCAGGUCAAGAGGAGCACAGCGUAUGAUGGAGAUGGGAUCGAGCGGCCUGGCUCGACUCCCAUAUUUGUCCAUUCAUAAUCAGCAGGCGAUUGUCCCAAGACAUGGGGGCGAGGAGAUUCAGAAGCUCUCGGAGUUAGGAGAAGGUCGAAUAUUGAGUCGAGAUGAAGAUUGUUAGGAUUUGAUAACUCAAGAUUCGGUCCACAUUGAACUCACAGCAAUGUUCGCGAUGAAAAAUGGAGGCCAACGAAAUCAAGAUCACCUCAAACAGAGNNNNNNNNNNNNNNNNNNNNNNNNNNNNNNNNNNNNNNNNNNNNNNNNNNNNNNNNNNNNNNNNNNNNNNNNNNNNNNNNNNNNNNNNNNNNNNNNNNNNNNNNNNNNNNAAUAUAUAUAUAUAUAUAUAUAUAUAUCACCAACUCACAACCAUCCAAUUAAUAUCUCACUUCCAAUUCCUAUUUACCAGGCCUUUUUUGAAGUCAAUGCACCUCAAAGCUUUAUUUCACUACUAAGGAGGGCUUUGUGAGGGAUAAUUGGGGUUGGCGGCGAAGAAAUUGACAAAGAUAUCCUUGAAAUUGAGGUGCAUUCGUUACCUCUUUGGAAGAAAAUUUAGCUGUUUCACCGUUUCUAGACGGUCCAAAAUAUUGUCCAAAAUGUGUAAUGAUCAGUAGAUACUGUGUCGGUUUCCUUGAAAUUGAGAUGCAAUUGUUACCUUUUUGGAGGAAAAUUUAGUUGUUUAUCCAUUUCUAGAUUCUCCAAAGUGUUGUCCAAAUCCGUAAUGAUCAGUAGAUACUAUGUCGGUUUUGGAGAGGAGUUGUUUUACAUCCAAAACUCCUCUCUUAUAUUGUAGAGGGAUCUGAUCAUUUCCACAUCAUGGAAGGAAAAAAAGCUAGAAUAAUGUGAUCAAUGGAGUCAAGAGGAGAGGAACAAAGGGAGCAAUAUAAGAUAUGAAUAUAGCAGUUCUUUAACAAUUCACCAGGAUGCAAUCUAUUUUUUGAGAACCAAACAAUAUGAAAAUUCCAUAGAGAUACUCUCCUACACAUCGGCCAUCAGAUUAAUUGAAGCCUCACUAAAUUAGCGAUAGGUGUUAAUUCAACUGUCCUGAUAGAUGAAGUGGGAGUUAAGAAGGUGGGGUCAAUUGUUAUCAGCCUUGAUUCUGUGAAAACGAUCCAUUGCUGGAGAGGACCGGCGUAGACGAAUAAAGCUGUGGUUACCAAGCUAGUUACCGCUUUUACCUUUGCUUGGAUAGAUAUAGUUGCAUGCGGUCCGUACUAUAUGGCUAGGUCAUAAUCCAUCUUUGUAUUGAUUGCUCAGUAACCCCACAACCUUGGUGCAUUAUUGGUUUGUCACAUUCUCUCAGACAUAACGAAAGUGAAGCAAUGGAUAUCUUUCCGCAACAAUUUCCCUCACCCAAAUGUUGCCAUCAUGAGGAUGAUUUGGUACACAAUUUACAUGUAUAUGAUGGCAUAUUUUUGAGACGGAAUGCAGUAUAAGUUCGUUAGGGACUCACAUGUCGGUGGCUUGACAAUAGAGAUGGCAAAGUUUGGAAUGGGAAAUCUAUGUGGCAUUGCCGUUAAAUUACAAAGAGACUGAGGAGCUUGAUAAUUUGUAUGCUUUGUAGUUGCAAAUGAGGCUGCUGAGGUGCGAGGAUAGACCAAUCUGAGAACUCUCACUGCAAAUCACCCCUUCCCGGUCAGGUACUUAAAUAAAUCUCUCUUAUUCACGAUAUUCGGUGCAUGACGAAGAGCUGUCUUUUCAUUAAGAUUCACCAUAUAUAUAUCAAAAGGCCAACAAUACUACUGACUAAAUGACCUCUCAUAUGAUAAAGCAUAGUGGAGAGACUGUGGACUGAUGUUGGGGGCUUCAUUUGACCUUCAAGGAUAUCUUCUUUCUGACUUUUUUGGAUAUAUCCAUACUAGACUCGUAUGAACACUACAGACUAUGAAAAUAAGCAACCAAGUUUUCAUGGAAGAGGCCUCGCCUGGCCCUGGAUAGCCUUUCCCUCACGGCUGAUUCUCGCAAGCACUUUCCACGCUGGAACAGCUCGCCCUCAAGUUCCGAUUGAAGCCAGUGAAGGGCAGGUUUACUGGCACUGUCCGCAUUCCGGCCAUCAUGUCCACAACCAUCCUUACAGGCCCCAGUCCAAAUAUCAUUAAGCAGAUAAUGUCAAAAGAGAGACUCAGCACCAUCUUUAACGACAGAAUUAUAAUGACAAGGAUUGAUGGAUGUGAGUCUCGCGCCUAGAUUUGGAUGUCUUUGAGUACACUCUGGAUCAGCCUAAGAAACAAAUUUUGGCAUAAUUGUGACAGUGCCUGCCUAUCCAAUUCAUCUUGAGAUGAUGCUGGACCUCCCCAUCCAGCUUGCCCAAAUACCUCUUAGAGCAAUCUUCAGCUUCAGAAACUGCACGACCCACACACGGCCCACGCUUGUGACCAUCUCCGGCGAAUUCUAAUAUGAAGCUCCUCCCCAGCAUCCUGCUAUUACACCUGGGCUGCUAAGGAUCCAGUGCUUCAUUGAUGAUACGAAGUAUUUGUUUACAGCUGGACUGGUUCAAAGAUAAAUCCUUUGUGCACGAUGGAUGGUAUAGAAAAUUCGAUGUGAAAUAUACUAUCUUUUUCGAUUAAUCCAUAUAGCCACUACUUUCCAACGCAUAUUUAAUAUUUAUGAUUUUACUUUUUCGUUUGAAAUUUUGAAUGACGAAAAUAUCUCUAUCUUUUGAAAAAAAUUAUGACAUCCUCUUCCUAUAUCAUGACAUUUUAUGUACAGAAAGUCAUAAUUUUUUUCAUAGGAUAUCAUAAUAUGAUAGAAGACGUCAUAAUAUAUAUAAAAUAUCAUAAUUUUUUUAAAAUAUAAAGAUAUUUUCAUCAUUCAAAAUUUUUAAAUAAAAAAGUAAAGCUACAGACAUUAAAUGCAGUUUGAAAAGUGAUUAGAUAAAAAUUUUUCUUUUAUAUUAUGAUAUCUUAAGCCAAACUAUGAUUUCCUAUGCAUAGGAAGUCAUAAUAUACCACAGGAUAUCAUUAUAUGUCACAGAAUGUCAUAAUUUUUUUUUCACAGGAUGUCGUAAUAUAUUACAGGAUGUCAAUUUUUUUUUCAAAAAGUAAAAGUAUUUUUAUCAUUUAAAUUUUUCAAAUAAAAAAUAAAAUAACGGACAUUAAAUAUGCAUUGAAAAAUAAUAACUAUGUGGAUCAAUCAGACAAGAUGUUGCACUCUACGUUAGAUUUUCUACACCACCUGUGAUGCACAAAGAAUUUCUCCUGGUCUGGAACACUGUCGACAUCCUGAAGAGUGAUAGCUCUGAGGUUGGCUUGCAUGGCCCACAAAAGGCCCAGACUCUGGGCAAUUUUGGGGAUGCCGAAAGAGCCAGGAAGGAGUCUUUGGAGAUGGAUGACGGGAAGCAAGGCAAGGAACAGAACUAACAAAAUCGUAGCAGUCGUUUAAGAAAGAAUUUGGGGGUUAGAAUAUGCCGAGUAUGUGGACAAGAGACUUCAGAGAGACAGGAUGAGGCUAAGCUUAUGAGUUGGGUAGUUUAGAUUGAUUUAGUGAAUUGUUGUGGUCCAAAGCUAACAGGUUCUGCAGAUAGAUAUCAAUGGUAACCAGCUUCAAACAUAAUGAAAAGAACAAGGAGUGAAAGCCAGUUUUGGUCUCAGAAACAAUUGCCUGCUUGAGCUAAUCCAUACUCAACUGUGAGAUAUAAAAAUGACAUUCAGGAUAACAAAACUGACAUACAAAGAAAGGCUGGCAGUUGGAUGGUGCAUUUAUGCAGUUCUCGACAGCAUGAAAAAGAACACUAAAAGCCGAGCAGCAGUGAGUCCAAAGAUCAAUGAAUUGAACCUAUGAAAUAAGGAUGCCUUUCCACAAGCAGAUGCCUCAGUUGCAGAUGUCCACAGACAACGAAGAAAGAUUACCUUGGAUGAGAGCGUGACCACAUCUAGGCAAAAUAAAAAACUGGAAUGCAAAGUUAUCUCACAUUCUUUUCUUUUAAGUCUUCAGGAAAAAAACAGCAUCUGCCUUACAGGGUGUUCAGUUUAAUGAAAUCAUCAAAAUGACAAGAUAAGCAAUCUGAUGGGUCUAUCCAUAACUUCCAUUUUCUUUCACCGAAAACACCGAGCAUAUAAAACAUGUGCCAUUAAGAUAUACGCCAUUAAGAUAUAACCGUAUCCUUCUGCAACAGAACUGAGAAAACUUACAAACUGAGAACCUGAUUCUCAUUACCAUGUCACUUUCCCCAUAGUAUGUUGU
rnacentral:lncRNA from 1 species